rnacentral:rRNA from 1 species
AACAAGGUCUCCGUUGGUGAACCAGCGGAGGGAUCAUUACCGAGUUUACAACUCCCAAACCCCUGUGAACAUACCACUUGUUGCCUCGGCGGAUCAGCCCGCUCCCGGUAAAACGGGACGGCCCGCCAGAGGACCCCUAAACUCUGUUUCUAUAUGUAACUUCUGAGUAAAACCAUAAAUAAAUCAAAACUUUUAACAACGGAUCUCUUGGUUCUGGCAUCGAUGAAGAACGCAGCAAAAUGCGAUAAGUAAUGUGAAUUGCAGAAUUCAGUGAAUCAUCGAAUCUUUGAACGCACAUUGCGCCCGCCAGUAUUCUGGCGGGCAUGCCUGUUCGAGCGUCAUUUCAACCCUCAAGCACAGCUUGGUGUUGGGACUCGCGUUAAUUCGCGUUCCCCAAAUUGAUUGGCGGUCACGUCGAGCUUCCAUAGCGUAGUAGUAAAACCCUCGUUACUGGUAAUCGUCGCGGCCACGCCGUUAAACCCCAACUUCUGAAUGUUGACCUCGGAUCAGGUAGGAAUACCCGCUGAACUUAAGCAUAUCAAAACA